rnacentral:tRNA from 1 species
GCUAUUUUGGCAGAUAAUAUGCACUAAAUUUAGGAUUUAAUUACAUAGGGAGGCCUAUAUAUAGCA